rnacentral:lncRNA from 1 species
UUUUUUUCAUUUACAACUCUUUUUCGAUUUUCAAAUAUAAAACAGGAAAUACGAUCAUGGAAAACUUGACAAACUCUACUAUACUACGACAAACUCUGACACCAACUAACAGAAUCAAUACUACUGAACAUGACUAUAAAGUGCAAGACAACAUAAAAAUAGACUCAAAAGAUAAAAAAAAAUCUCCUUUAGCUAGCUCCUGAACGUAGUGAUCCUGACUGAAUGGUCCCGGGGUGUCUUUCAUGCUCAAACUCCGGUAAGUAGAUCCACACCUAUUUGAGAAAACUUAAACCAACACUAUGUGAGACAAUAUCACUCCCUACUGGUCACAUGCAAGAUAUGAUUGAGGCUAUUUUUGCAAAACGUCUUAUGUGGCCAAAAGGCGGCUAGAAGUGCAAACUCGACAAAAGUGACCUCUAAGACAUGGAAAAAUUACUUUGCAAAAAUGACCCAGUUUAUAGAAAUAGUUUAUGUGGACAAAAAUGGCUAAGCAUGCAAAUUCAACACAAUGAACCUUAAACAGAGAGAAUAUCUUGUUGUGGACCUAGGACUCUAAGACUUGUUAAUUUAACCACUUUUGCGAAAAUAGCCCUAUUUUGCAAAAUGGCCGAUGUGGCCAAAAGCGGCUAGACAUGCAAAUUCGACUAGGAUGGGCCUCAAAGUAAAGAGACACCUAAUUGUGGAUUCAAGACACUCCAGACACAAUUAAACAAACCACUUUGCAAAAAUAGCCCUAUUUUGUAAAAUGACCGAUGUGGCCAAAAAGAGGCUAGAUAUGCAAGAUUUGGCUACAACCCCACGAAACCAAGAACCUAAGACUCACUAAGAAGACCAGACCAUAUGUGGGUUGCCUACGUAUCCUGCCCCAAGAGACGAGAAUCAGGUUCGCGUAGUUCGGGUAGAUUGGAUACGGGCGAGAAUUUAAAAAAAUAACUAAUUUAGAAAAAAUAUGUUUUUUGUCAUAUGUUUUUUGUCUUCUUUUUUUUUCGAAAAAUGAUGAAACAUGUAAGCUCUUAUUGGAUUUUCAUUUCCUUUUUUUAUUUUCGGAAAAUGAUGAAAAAGUGCAAAAUCUUUUUUUUUUUAAUUUUUCAUGUUUUCUUUUGUCUUUUUUUAACAAAAAUGUGAAAGAAAACAUAACUGGGCCUUACUGGCCUUACUUGCUUUAUUUUUCACACUUCACCCUCUCUUUUUUUCUUUUUUUUUCUUUUACAUUUGCCCUCAACUAUCAUUGGUCCGCCAAAUGACCAUUUUAUCCUUGAAGAAAUGCAACAUGUAGCACAUAGGAUGCAUCAAGAUGGUCUGUUAUUUUGGGUACACCUGUCCUAGACGAACCCAACCCCUAUGUUGAGUCCCCAAAGUCAAAUGCACGUGAUGCAAACAAACGUUCCUACUAGGGAUCCGGCAUGAGGCUGUGUUUUUCUAGGUUUAAAUCCUGGGGUUGUGUUCUAGACCUGGCUUUCCCGAGCGGACAACUCGAGCCGAAGAGGGAGCAACGUACCGGGAGCACUGAAGUCUACCCGGCCUUGUUGCUGGCCCAGCCCCGUUCUUAUUUGGAAUAACUUCUACAGAAAAAGCGGGUCAUGUGAAUAUGUGCACCAUUUUCAGAAGACUCAGAGGGGUGGCAUAAGAAGACAGUUAUAUACAAUUCAAAUAAUAUCAAAGCGGUAAAUAAGCAGCAGUUAGCACAUUAGGUCCACAAAUACAGUAAUAUCAACAAUAAAUAAAGCCAAGUAAAAAUCAUAUUAAAAAGCUCGAAUUCUUGAACCUUGAACCAAAAGUUCUGGGUUCUUGUCCCCAGCAGAGUCGUCAGAGCUGUUACACCUCCUUUCUACCACCCCCGGAAGGGUAUAUAAGGGAGUUUUUUCAAUUUAAGUGACAAUCAAAACGGGAUUAAUUAUUAGAUUCAGAGUCGCCACUUGGGAUAGUUAAUGGUGUCCCAAGUCACCGGUUUAGAAUCCUGAAUUGAGGAAGUUUGACUCUUAUUUACGGUCUGGGAACACUGAAAUCCAGGUAAGGAAUUCUGUUAACCUAGGAGAAGGUGUUAGGCAUUCUCGAGUUCCGUGGUUCUAGCACGGUCGCUUUGAUCAUACUUGGCUUAAUUAAAUUGUCUAAUGACUCGUUUUUAGAACCUAUAUGCAUUUACCUCUUUAAAUUAAGAAAUUAUCUUGAAAUGGGUCACGCGUACGUGUACCCAUUUGUUUUGGCGCAUCAAAAAUUCAUGUCACGCGAACAUGUCCACAAUUAAUGACGCUUUAUUAUUAACAAUUUUUGGCCAAAGUUGCACAAAUGCAUACUUCGGGUAUGUUUUUUAGGAUCGUAAUUAUAUCACGCGAACGUGUACACAAUCACGAUGGUAAAUUUAAAACGCGUCUAAAGCAUACUACGAUGUUCAUGAUUUAUUCUUUCUAAGUUGGAGAUUAUUGUAAAGUGACUAGUUUUUUUAAAAAAAAAAUAUGUUCAUGCCUAGAAGCACAUUAAAACGUUAGCCAACUAAAGUUACUAGAGUCCAAAAUUAUUUUCUAAUUUAACCCAAAAGCCAACAAAUUUUAUUUUCACCCUAGCCCACCCCAACAGAUUCUCCUUCACCCUAGUUACCAAAUCAUUUCAGCAAUUAAUAAACGUUGACUAGUUUUAACAAGUUAAACAAGCAAGCACUUGGUGCACAUCGUUAGGACAAUCUCUUUAUUUCAUUUGUAUCUUUCGCUGCAAGGAGAAACUAAUGUGUUGUAUAGAUAGCAGCUUGUAUUCUUUUUCACUUAGUGAGUUGGUGUUUAGUAAUGAAAUUUCAUAUUUUAUCAACAAAGGACACUUGAGACUAUGUUAGUCUAAUCUAGCCAUAACACAGACAAACACGCAUACACAUAGAAAAAUACAAGAAUUACAGAAGCUAGAACUAAAUCUUUAUACCUUUACCCCGCAUCUGAUUCAAAUGAUCCAAAAUAAAACCAAUGAGUUUAAUCACUUAGCUAAUAGAUAAUGCCUCACCUACCUUCCUUAAUUGAUUUGCUCAAACCAAAUACAGAUCCAUGUACUAACUGAUAAAACAAAACAUAUAAAAAAGGGCACCAAGAGCAUGGACGACAAGCACUGAGUAAUAUUCCCAAAACAACAUAAAGAUGAACAUAUAACAAAGUGAACGGGAAAGUGAAGAAUCGGACCUCAAUGGCAAAAAUUUCUUCCAGAUUAGAGAAACUUCGGGCUUACAGUUUUGUCCAAAUGAAGAGCAACAGCAUUCAACAACAACAAUCGAGUAUCAACCUGAAAAAUCAGUAGAAACGCGAAUCAAACACGGAACAUUGACUUAAACCAGCUCCAUCUCAAUAGGGAAAUUCAGACCCAAAUAUGGACUUAAAAAUUGGAACCGUUGACAGAAGUCGGCUCACUCAAACUCGAUUGAAUUCCAUGGUUUUUUUUUCAAAUCAGAAAUCAGAAGAAGAAGCUAGAGAUCGACAUGACAAUCAGAUUUUUAAAUUACUUAUCAGCUAUUCCCAUCUCUUUAUUUGAAUUCAAUCUAAUAACUGAAUAACAAACCUUGAAUUAUCAAACAUAUAUAAGUUAGUCUAAU